AGUCUCAGCUUCACUGUCAACUCCUCCAGAUUUUGCGUCUGCAGGAGCGGAGAAGGAGUCAGCCAGGCUGCCAUGUUGGGGUCUGGGAAUCUGUGUUCUUCCAGCUCUACUCGUCUCCGUUGUCACCUUCAUCGUCGGACUCUUCGUCUACUCAGGUAAACCAGCAGGGUGCAGCUGCUGCAGGAGCAACAGCAGUCCGAAGAACACAGAGGACCCGUCUUUGCACUACUCCAGUCUGAAGCAUGGAGAUCAGCUCCAGCCUCCAAGCCGAGGAAGAGGAGGGUCACGUCUAGUCAAAGAGGAAGUGAUAUACUCGACGGUAUCCGGCUGCAAGAAGCUGCAGGGAUCACAGGGCCGCUGAUGUUCUCACCUCCAUCAUGAACUGUGUUUCAAACUGUUUAAAGAUUCAGCAGCUGUUUCUAUAAAUCCUCCCUCUUAAAGCUCUUUAUUCCACUUUAUUAAAACGCAGCAGACUGUGAGACGCUGUAAAUAUGUUGCUCUGUGGAAUCAUGUUUACCUUCCUUAUGAUCUUCUCCUCACGCACACUCACACACACACACACACACACACACACACACACACACACACACACACACACACACACACACACACCUCAGAUGAAUGUAAAAAUGUGACUGACACACUGUUAUUGCCUCCUAUUGCACAAAUGUUGAUGUUAUUAAGAUGUACACACUCCACAGGUAGUGAAGUGGAUGUGUUUCAUGUGUUACACUGUGAAUUUAAAAAAAUGUGACUGAAAUAAAUAAAGAUUCAAACUUC